CCUAUCCGCUGUGGGCGCAGGAGAUUUGAGUGGAGCUGUUCUUAGUACGAGAGGACCGGGAUGGACAUACCUCUGGUGCAUCAGUUGUACUGCCAAGUGCAUAGCUGAGUAGCCACGUAUGGAAGGGAUAAGUGCUGAAAGCAUCUAAGUACGAAGCCCCCCACAAGAAAAGAUCUCCUUGCCGCAAGGCGUAAGACCCGUGAGAGACUAUCACGUUGAUAGGUCGGAGGUGUAAGUGCAGUAAUGUAUUGAGCUGACCGAUACUAAUAGGUCGAACACUUGACCAA
rnacentral:rRNA from 1 species